CGGACGGGUGAGUAACGCGUGGGGAACCUGCCCUGUACAGGGGAUAACACUUAGAAAUAGGUGCUAAUACCGCAUAAGCGCACAGCUUCGCAUGAAGUGGUGUGAAAAACUCUGGUGGUAUACGAUGGUUCCGCGUCUGAUUAGCUUGUUGGUGGGGUAAUGGCUCACCAAGGCGACGAUCAGUAGCCGGCCUGAGAGGGUGAACGGCCACAUUGGGACUGAGACACGGCCCAAACUCCUACGGGAGGCAGCAG
rnacentral:rRNA from 1 species